UCCGGAAACGAGUUAUCUGAACCUUCGGGGAACGAUAACGGCGUCGAGCGGCGGACGGGUGAGUAAUGCCUGGGAAAUUGCCCUGAUGUGGGGGAUAACUAUUGGAAACGAUAGCUAAUACCGCAUAACGUCUACGGACCAAAGAGGGGGACCUUCGGGCCUCUCGCUUCAGGAUAUGCCCAGGUGGGAUUAGCUAGUUGGUGAGGUAAUGGCUCACCAAGGCGACGAUCCCUAGCUGGUCUGAGAGGAUGAUCAGCCACACUGGAACUGAGACACGGUCCAGACUCCUACGGGAGGCAGCAGUGGGGAAUAUUGCACAAUGGGCGCAAGCCUGAUGCAGCCAUGCCGCGUGUAUGAAGAAGGCCUUCGGGUUGUAAAGUACUUUCAGUCGUGAGGAAGGC
rnacentral:rRNA from 1 species